GGUUUCAUGGCCUAAUGGAUAAGGCGCUAGACUUCGAAUCUAGAGAUUCAGGGUUCGAGUCCCUGUGAAAUCG